UACGUAGGGGGCAAGCGUUGUCCGGAAUCAUUGGGCGUAAAGAGCGUGUAGGCGGCCUGGUAGGUCUGCUGUGAAAACUCGAGGCUCAACCUCGAGACGUCGAUGGAAACCAUCUGGCUAGAGUCCGGAAGAGGAGAGUGGAAUUCCUGGUGUAGCGGUGAAAUGCGCAGAUAUCAGGAAGAACACCCGUGGCGAAGGCGGCUCUCUGGUACGUGACUGACGCUGAGACGCGAAAGCGUGGGGAGCAAACAGG
rnacentral:rRNA from 1 species